rnacentral:rRNA from 1 species
ACAACUUUCAACAACGGAUCUCUUGGCUCUCGCAUCGAUGAAGAACGCAGCGAAAUGCGAUAAGUAAUGUGAAUUGCAGAAUUCAGUGAAUCAUCGAAUCUUUGAACGCACCUUGCGCCCCUUGGUAUUCCGAGGGGCAUGCCUGUUUGAGUGUC